UACAGAGGGGGCAAGCGUUGUUCGGAAUUACUGGGCGUAAAGGGCGCGUAGGCGGCCUGCUAAGUCGAACGUGAAAUCCCUGGGCUCAACCCGGGAACUGCGUCCGAUACUGGCAGGCUUGAAUUCGGGAGAGGGAUGUGGAAUUCCAGGUGUAGCGGUGAAAUGCGUAGAUAUCUGGAGGAACACCGGUGGCGAAGGCGGCAUCCUGGACCGAGAUUGACGCUGAUGCGCGAAAGCCAGGGGAGCAAACGGG
rnacentral:rRNA from 1 species